UCGUUUUUCUGCAAAUCAUUCGGCAAACAAACACAAAUGUGCUUAAAAUUACAGCAACAAAACAAAUUGAAAGCCGAGCAGAGGGACACACAUAUAGUACUUCAAAAAAAAAAAGGAAAAACUGAAGUUGCAGAUGACCACCAGCCAUCAAAUAUCAAGGGUUCGCAUCCGCCGAGUGCAGUGAUAUGCAAAAAAGUGCAUGUCACUGCGUUGGCAACGCAACAUGGUCGCGUUCGGGGGUCCAAGUCUAAGGACCACUGCCCUCAUCAUCUACGUCAGUCAUCAUCCGCAAAUGAAAGUCGUCUCACAACGCCAAACUAAUUGGCAUAGCCAGAGUAUCCCAAUGGCUGCUGCUUACCCCACCCUGCCCUGCCCCCACAAGGCACAAGGGGGCAACCAACUUGGGCACAAUGGCUCGAUAAAGAAUUAUCCAUCGAGCGGGAGAAAUGUGGUGCUCUUAAAGUGGACAGCAGCAUUUACCAAACCACUGAGCCGCUGCACCAAGUGCCUGUUCGGGGUCCAAACAUCAAUGCUCGCUGCCUGGAUGCAUCAACACUUCAGUGAGUGCGCCACAGGCUGCGGUUCCUGCUCCUAUUGCUGGUCAGCUUGCUGCGCCUUAAGUAUGGGUUGCAGAGGCGAGGCUGAGCACAAUGGACCACUUCUUCAGUCCUCCCUGGCUGGCACCACAAUUACUUCCAUUUGAUUGAGCAAAGAAGUGCGCGUGGAGUUUUCGCCGCUUUGGUUUCCUUUUUUUUACAGCAAACUGGACACAUUGUUGGGGUGCCUGGAUCUGGGCAGACGGUGGAAGCAUUGGUCAUUCACGGCAUGGGCUGUGUUUAUUACGCUACAUGCUUGAAUGCAUUUCGCUGAUUUCUCCAUAAGCCUGCUGCUGAUGAUGAUGAUGAUGAUGAAGAUACUGAUGCUGAUGCCGAUGCCGAUACGAGUGCAUUGCAGGAGCUUGCAGUUAGCUUGAGCAAGAAAGAUUUACGGCUUCAAAUGAUGAGUGAGUGAGAAUGCGGAGGAAUAAAGCCUGAACUAUAGAGAUUAAUUUUCAGCCGCAAAUUUGAAAUUUUAAAAAUGAUGUUCCUCAAAAUGUCUGCUUUAUGUGAAUAUCAGAGCUUGACUGUAUAUUUUGGACCAAAGAAGAACUAUAUUGCAAAUCGGAACAAAUACUAAUGUGCAUCCCCUAAAAAUAAAUAAUUCAUUUACUGAAGCUGAAGUCAAGGGCAAUUAGGGUAAAACAUAAUUCCGUAUUUAAACUAAAACGAAGCAAUGACAAUAAUAGUUUGGAAACUCUAAUACAAAGUACAACUAUUUUCUUUUAAA